GCUCAGAUUGAACGCUGGCGGCAGGCUUAACACAUGCAAGUCGAGCGGAAACGAUGGUAGCUUGCUACCAGGCGUCGAGCGGCGGACGGGUGAGUAAUACUUAGGAAUCUACCUAGUAGUGGGGGAUAGCACGGGGAAACUCGUAUUAAUACCGCAUACGUCCUACGGGAGAAAGGGGGCAACUUGUUGCUCUCGCUAUUAGAUGAGCCUAAGUCGGAUUAGCUAGAUGGUGGGGUAAAGGCCUACCAUGGCGACGAUCUGUAGCUGGUCUGAGAGGAUGAUCAGCCACACCGGGACUGAGACACGGCCCGGACUCCUACGGGAGGCAGCAGUGGGGAAUAUUGGACAAUGGGGGAAACCCUGAUCCAGCCAUGCCGCGUGUGUGAAGAAGGCCUUUUGGUUGUAAAGCACUUUAAGCAGUGAAGAAGACUCUUCGGUUAAUACCCGGAGACGAUGCA
rnacentral:rRNA from 1 species